AGUCACUUCCGGGGAAGAUCGGAAGUUGCUUUGUUUUGCUUCAAGAUGGCUGCUGGGAUGUAUUUGGAACAUUAUCUGGACAGUAUUGAAAACCUCCCGUUUGAAUUACAGAGAAACUUUCAGCUCAUGAGGGACCUAGACCAAAGGACAGAGGACCUGAAGGCUGAAAUUGACAAGUUGGCCACUGAAUAUAUGAGUAGCGCCCGCAGCCUGAGCUCCGAGGAGAAGCUGGCCCUUCUCAGACAGAUCCAGGAGGCCUAUGGCAAGUGCAAGGAAUUUGGUGACGACAAGGUGCAGCUGGCCAUGCAGACCUAUGAGAUGGUAGACAAACACAUUCGGCGGCUGGACACAGACCUGGCCCGUUUUGAGGCUGAUCUGAAGGAGAAACAGAUCGAGUCCAGUGACUAUGACAGCUCUUCUAGCAAAGGCAAAAAGAGCCGGACCCAAAAGGAGAAAAAAGCUGCCAGAGCCCGUUCCAAAGGGAAAAACUCAGAUGAAGAAGCCCCCAAGGCUGCCCAGAAGAAGUUAAAACUUGUGCGCACGUGAGUAUACCAGAGGACGCCCGCCUCCCAGCCAGCCUCGUGCCACUUUCCCUGUCUUCUGUGCCAGUAACUCUGUCACUGUGGUGUCUGCUGGACGGAGAGGAAGCCACACAUCACUUGCCUCACCACGAUCUUCUACCACCUCAGAGCACAGGUUGUAGCUUCCCUUCCUGCGGAUGACAUUUGUCUUCCUCUUGGCAUACAGAAGUCCUGAGUAUGGGAUGCCCUCAGUGACCUUUGGCAGUGUCCACCCCUCUGAUGUGUUGGAUAUGCCUGUGGAUCCCAACGAACCCACAUAUUGCCUUUGUCACCAGGUCUCCUAUGGAGAGAUGAUUGGCUGUGACAACCCGGAUUGUUCCAUCGAGUGGUUCCACUUCGCCUGUGUGGGGCUGACAACCAAACCUCGAGGGAAAUGGUUUUGCCCACGCUGCUCCCAAGAACGGAAGAAGAAAUAGGUUUCCCUGGAUUCCAUUACAGACUUCUGCAUCCCCCUGACCUGGGCUAGUGGACAGAGUGGAAGGCCUGUGCUGGGGACGGGGGGCCCAGGGAGAUGUGGACAGUGCGGUACCGUCAUCCCUCUCCCUCCUCCCCACUCGGUGCUGAGGCUGCAUCCAAACCCCAGUAGGGAGGGUGCCGCAGCCAGUGACGGUAUGUGCUCUCCUCCCGCCUCUCCCAGAGGGAAGUAAUCUCACUCACUGUCCUUUUGCCUCCUUGGUGAGGUUGGUGCUGUAUUUCAGAGGGAGGGUCCUCUUCAUUCCCCUUGCUUUGACUUAAGGACUGGGGCAGUGGAGUGGGGCACUUUCCCAGUCCCCUCACUCCUCCUUCCCCCAUUGGGAGCUAGGCAGGACAGACUGCCUUCUCUGCACUCUUCCUGUUCUCCAUGGGGAGGGGUCUUCUAGGUCAUUUGGGCAGUGGCCUAGUUAAGUGGUUACCCCAACCUCUAUGGCCCGGGGAUUUAUGCUGACUCUGAAUGGGAGAGGGGCAAGGUAGACCGCAGGUUACUCACAUGUAAAAGGAGUUGGGGUAGGUAAAUAAAAGCUAUCCAUGCUAGCCUGCUGUGUUUAUUGUAGAGACUGUUUAAGUAUAUGUGGUAAGCAUUCUUUUCGCAUCCUCUGGAUUGGAUGAGAGGCAGGAAGAUGGCUUGCCAGAAAUAGGACAAGACAUAAAACCCAAAAUGGUCCUGUCCUGUGGUGUCCACAGCUUCUCCACCUGGAGGAGUGCCUUGCAUCGGGGGACUCAGAAUUUUGUAAUUACGAAUCUCCUCUCCGUGAAACACCUUUAACCCAAUUCCAAUAAAUCAUGUAUUUGCUUUAUAUGUGUGUGCGGUGAUAGUAUUAGCUUGAUUUCUUCUAAAUACAAAAUAGAUACAAACAGGUAUUUUCUCCCCAUCUCCCUAUGAGUUGUGUUGGUCCCCUCCCUCUUGAAACGGUAUCCCUUGGACCACUGAACCAUCCUUUCAUGUGUGCUCGCCUUGGUCAGCCCUGCUUCAUUUUAACUUUGGGCCUGUUUCCUACGGAAGAGGUGUCCUCCCUAGUUCCUACCCCUCCCUGCCUUCCUUUCAGACAUCCAGCUCUGCUGCCCACAGUGCUGCCUAUACUCAACAGCCAGGUCUCCACAAAACCGCGGAUGUUGCUUCGCAAAACCCACCAUCUUUAUCUGAAGAAGGGGUCAUAGUACACACCUCCUGGGUCUAGGGGUUAAGUGGCAGGAAGUAGCGCGCAGACCCGGGGUUACAGCUAGGAGAAAUUAGGAGCAGGAUUUUAGGUUCACUUCCCGGCAACACAAAAAUAAAUUCGAAAAAAGUGGUACCGAGCAAUAGAGGUCCUACGCUGUUGAAGACCGACUGGAAGGGCUGCUGUAGCCUGUGGCUCCUGACAUGGCCCCCCUUGUCCUUGGCCUGCUACUGGUGCAGCUCAGAGGAGUUCACCUCGUGGCCUGGCCCCGCCCUCACCUUCUGUGACGUAGCAGCCGCGCCUCCUGCCUUCUUCGCGCUAGCAGCGAGGCUCGGCCCGUUGGAGGUCGCUUUGUUGUGAAAACGCGGGUGGAUCUUCCCAGGCCAUGAUGAAUCUAGCUGCUGGCUUCCUUCUGAUGCUUCUGGAAGGUGAGAGGCUACGCUUGGCCCAUUUGGAAGCUGCUGUGGUCUGAAAGCGCAGGUGGAUCUUCCCUGGGGCUCCCUUAUGCUCCUGAAGGGCCCUGAGCCCCCUCCCUUUUUUUUAAUGGGUUUUGAGACAGCUGUCUCCAGGUGGUUGAGUUGUACCUGAUCCGAGCUUGGUUGGUUUUUUAUCUAUUGUCCCUUGAAGCCUUCCACUGUAGUCAUCAGGCAUCACCCAAGACACACACACACACACACACACACACACACUCCAGUUCUUAGUUCAUUGUCGGGGAGUGGGAGGGUCUACUUCUAGUCUGGGUCUGGCCACUGGACCCCAAGUGCAUUGUGGGUUAAGGUCCAUUCUUGUCUGUCCCCCUACCCUGCAGUGCUGCUCCUGCCUGGAACACCUCUUUCCGCUGAGGAAUCUCCAGCCUCCACUCCAGGCAGCCCUCUCUCGUCCACUGAGUAUGAACGCUUCUUCGCCCUGCUGACCCCAACCUGGAAGGCAGAGACCACCUGCCGCCUCCGUGCCACCCACGGCUGCCGGAACCCCACUCUCGUUCAGUUGGAUCAAUAUGAAAACCACGGAUUGGUACCAGAUGGUGCUGUCUGCUCCGAUCUCCCUUAUGCUUCCUGGUUUGAGUCCUUCUGCCAGUUUGCUCAGUAUCGUUGCUCCAACCAUGUCUACUAUGCCAAGGUGAGACCUCCCAGAGUGGGGACCGCAGUUCCCAGCCCUAGCUUGGCAGCUUGCAAGUCUGUAACUCCAGUCCUGGGAGAUCCAACGCCCCCUUCUGGCCUCCACAAGCACUGCAUGAAUCCAGGCAAAACACCUAUACACAUAAAAUAAAAAAAAAAAAAAGCCCUCUGGGCCUUUUGUAAAU
ensembl:processed_transcript Gm44597 predicted gene 44597